GUCAGACAAGAAAGUACAGCUUGCAUAUACAAGCUUUGGUUUUUGCCAGUAAAUUAAAUGCCAAACUGUACUUGAGCACAAAGCCCAUUCUCAAACCUGCCAACCCAGCUUUAAGCAUCAUGAAGUCCAGGUGCAGUUCAUAUGAUAAAUGCUUCCAGACCUGAUCCAGCAUGAAGAAUCUGCAACCAAGCAUGAUCAUUUUCCCAAUUUUGAUUCCUCAUGUUGUGUAAGGGUCUGCAAAUCCACCCAGCUUGACACCAUCUGAAAAUUUACUAAACGUAUACUCAGUUCCAUCCUCCAAGCCAUAAUGAAGAUGUUGAACAGCAGUGGACUCAGAACAGACGCCUGAGGAACCCAGUUUGACACCUGUUCGAUUGAUGACUACACUUCGAGCAAUAUUAUCCACCAGUUAUGUACCUAUCUAAUAAUAGUCUUUUCCAGACCAUAUUUAUCUUGCUUGCUAGAAUAUUUUGAGCUCCAGUGAGGCACAUGUGCAGUAGGAUGAAUAUACAGUUUAGACAGAAUGCCCAAGAAACUCCAGUAUGGGAAAAUGGGGUGUAGGAAGAUUAAGCAUGCUUGCCUCAAAAAUUGAAUCAGGGACAUUCUAAUGGGAUACUUGAUCAAAAAAACCCCUACAAGUUAACUUUUUGGACAUGUCCACAUGAGCUAGCACAUGUGUGUUGUGGCAUCCCAAAUCAGUUUGAGAUGCUGCAGAAGGUAUGCCAUGAACUAAAAAAUGUUCUCCAUGCUGCAUAUUUACAACCCAGACUCUUAAGUUUGAUACCAGGGAAUCCAAGUAUCAAAAGAAAACAUGCUGGAAAAAAGCAGCAUUCUGCAUGCUCCUGGAGCAUAUCCAAAAGCAACUGGAGGCUGAGUCCUCCAAGGUGAUGAUCUAGUACCUGGCCAGAGGGUGUCUAUGCAUGCUGCAUACCCCUGCUGCUCCAGCAUGCUGCCUCAGUGUGCUGGAGGAAAUAGAAGUGGGGUAUGGCUAGCAGUAGUGGCUUAGUGGUUGGGACCCAGGCUCUGUCUUAGGUUGCUCCAGAGCCUGCCUAGCAGCCUGGGCCCAGGCACUGCAGCAGGACCAUGCAGGCUCUGGAGCAACCCAGGACAGACUCUGGAGCAACCCAGCUGCAGCAGGACUUACCAGUCCUGAAGACAGAGGCACCCCGUUUUCAGCUCCAGGUGAACAGCAGAGUCAGGAGGACCCAGAGGCUGUGGAAGGGGCCAUGGGUGAUCCUGGUAAGCAGGGACAUGGGUUUUCUUUUUCCCAUGGGAAGACAUGGAUUUUCUCAUUUAAAGGGGAAACUGUGGGUUUUCCCAUUUGCACACAGUUAUCUGCAGGCUGACAGAGUUCCAGCCUGCAAGAGCUUCUUGCAAACAGGUGGAAAACUAAGUUGGGCCAGCCACGGAGCCCACCCAGCCUGAUGGCAUCUGUGUGGGUACGUGUAGGGAUUGUGUGGUGGGGAGGGACUGUGUGGGAAGGGGGGACUGUGUAGUGAGCCCCCUCUCAUCUCACCACAGUGCAAGGCUCCCGCUGCAAGUGACAGCAGCCAGCAACAGGCCCUUGAGACACUCAUAGUCCACUGCAGGCAGAGACCCCCCACAGCGGUGUGCAGAGCUGCCUGAGUCCCAGGGGCUACACAUGGUGCACAGAGCCAGCCCGGCCCACUGGCAUGUGUUUUCAAACAGGACUGGGCUGGUUCCUACCUCCACGUGGUGGGACCACACACAUGGAGGCAAGAGCCAACCUGGCCUGAUGGCAUGUGGCUCCAGCGUGCAGUGCUGGGAGCCCCAUGUAUAGACAGCAGCCAGCCUGGUCUUGUCCAAGGGCAUAUGCCAAUGGGCCAGGCUGUAACCCCCAAGACUCAGGUGGCACCAUG